rnacentral:rRNA from 1 species
AGCAGCCGCCGCGGGAAUACGUAGGUGGCAAGCGUUGUCCGGAAUUAUUGGGCGUAAAGGGCUCGCAGGCGGUUUCUUCAGUCUGAUGUGAAAGCCCCCGGCUCAACCGGGGAGGGUCAUUGGAAACUGGGAAACUUGAGUGCAGAAGAGGAGAGUGGAAUUCCACGUGUAGCGGUGAAAUGCGUAGAGAUGUGGAGGAACACCAGUGGCGAAGGCGACUCUCUGGUCUGUAACUGACGCUGAGGAGCGAAAGCGUGGGGAGCAAACAGGAUUAGAUACCCCGGUAGUCCCUGUCUCUUAUAC